GUAAAAUACACCUUUUCCAUGCAUAAAUAUGAAAGUUUAGGUUUGAAAUAUAUAAAUACAUAGGAAAUGUGGGGGCUGUGAAUGUAAACAUCCAUCUUUUGAUUAGCAUUAGUGUAGAGUUCUUCUUGGAUGGCUCCGCUCUCCCCAACUGAGUUGGUAUUGUAUGUAAAUCCACUUCAGCUGAGGAUUUGGAGAGCUUGUUUGUUCGGCCAUCUGCUGGUGGAUCUAUAUUUCCUGGCCCUCUACAAUAAAAGCUUGCACCAGUAGUGUGUUACCCUCUCCUCAAAUCUGAAUGAAAACCAAAGCUUUUGUCUGAGUUCUGCGCCUGCUUUUACCCUUUUUUUCUGCACCACGAAACAAAUCGUAAGACCCAAACUAUCUAUGGUUCUCUUCUCCUGGGAUUGUUUCUGUGAAAA